rnacentral:snoRNA from 1 species
UGGACCAAUGAUGAGGGUGUGUUAUAAACCAAAGCUUAUUAUUACUCCAGUUCUGAGCACUUGGGGUUAAAA